UACGUAGGGGGCAAGCGUUGUCCGGAAUCACUGGGCGUAAAGGGCGCGCAGGCGGCUGUCUACGUCCGGGGUGAAAGCCCAGAGCUCAACUCUGGGAUUGCCUUGGAUACGGGAUAGCUUGAGGAUCGGAGAGGCAAGGGGAAUUCCACGUGUAGCGGUGAAAUGCGUAGAGAUGUGGAGGAACACCUGUGGCGAAGGCGCCUUGCUGGCCGAUUUCUGACGCCGAGGCGCGAAAGCGUGGGGAGCAAACAGG
rnacentral:rRNA from 1 species